GCCCUCGUAGCUCAAUGGAUAGAGCGUAUCGGUUCUAACGAUAGGGUUGCGCGUUCGAAUCGCGCCGAGGGCA
rfam:Candidatus Woesebacteria bacterium RIFCSPHIGHO2_12_FTLL_42_9 rifcsphigho2_12_scaffold_1909, whole genome shotgun sequence.